UACAGAGGGUGCGAGCGUUGUUCGGAAUUAUUGGGCGUAAAGCGCGCGCAGGCGGUCCUUUAAGUCUGAUGUGAAAGCCCACGGCUCAACCGUGGAGGGUCAUUGGAAACUGGGGGACUUGAGUACAGAAGAGGAAAGUGGAAUUCCACGUGUAGCGGUGAAAUGCGUAGAGAUGUGGAGGAACACCAGUGGCGAAGGCGACUUUCUGGUCUGUAACUGACGCUGAGGCGCGAAAGCGUGGGGAGCAAACAGG
rnacentral:rRNA from 1 species